AGGGGAAUAUUGGACAAUGGGCGCAAGCCUGAUCCAGCCAUGCCGCGUGAGUGAUGAAGGCCCUAGGGUUGUAAAGCUCUUUCACCGGUGAAGAUAAUGACGGUAACCGGAGAAGAAGCCCCGGCUAACUUCGUGCCAGCAGCCGCGGUAAUACGAAGGGGGCUAGCGUUGUUCGGAUUUACUGGGCGUACAGCGCACGUAGGCGGACUUUUAAGUCAGGGGUGAAAUCCAGGGGCUCAACCCCGGAACUGCCUUUGAUACUGGAAGUCUGGAGUAUGGUAGAGGUGAGUGGAAUUCCGAGUGUAGAGGUGAAAGUCGUAGAUAUUCGGAGGAACACCAGUGGCGAAGGCGGCUCACUGGACCAUUACUGACGCUGAGGUGCGAAAGCGUGGGGAGCAAACAGG
rnacentral:rRNA from 1 species